UACGAAGGGUGCAAGCGUUACUCGGAAUUACUGGGCGUAAAGCGUGCGUAGGCGGUUUGUUAAGUCCGCUGUGAAAGCCCUGGGCUCAACCUGGGAAUUGCAGUGGAUACUGGCAAGCUAGAGUGCGGUAGAGGAUGGUGGAAUUCCCGGUGUAGCGGUGAAAUGCGUAGAGAUCUGGAGGAAUACCGGUGGCGAAGGCGGCCCCCUGGACAAAGACUGACGCUCAGGUGCGAAAGCGUGGGGAGCAAACAGG
rnacentral:rRNA from 1 species